AGGAGCAAAGUAUUUCUGUCAAACACCCGUUAUUCACCAUAUCAGCACGUUGAAGACAAGACCGCUAAAGACCAAUGGAAAUCUGACCCAAGACACCAAAGAGCACCACUGUUUGAAGGAGGUGGAGAAAGGAAGAAUCAAUACUUUCAGUGAGAGAAAAUGGUCAAACCACUGAUUGGCAGAGAGUCCUUUUGUUACUGAUCUGUUUCUGUGAAUCACAAGUUGAUAUUUCUGAGAAGUUCCAUGUAAGCAGUAAAAAGUUGGGAAAGUGAGCCACCGUGUGCUCGUCUUUAGAAGAGUCACAGGAGAAGGAGGUGCACCUACCAGUCUACAUCCUGGAGAUGAUCCUGUCCGUAGAGGGCCACAAGAGUGUUCUUCAGAAACUGUAUUGGAUCACUGGGACAUGACAGACAUGAAGCUGUCAGCAGGGUCUGUUGUCGAGGAGGAAUAUGAUAAUAAAGAUAAUAACUUGUUGAUCAAGAAUGAUGAAG